rnacentral:rRNA from 1 species
UACGUAGGGUGCAAGCGUUAAUCGGAAUUACUGGGCGUAAAGCGCACGUAGGCGGUUUUUUAAGUCAGAUGUGAAAGCCCCGGGCUCAACCUGGGAAUUGCAUUUGAAACUGGGGAACUAGAGUGUGUGAGAGGGGGGUAGAAUUCCAAGUGUAGCGGUGAAAUGCGUAGAGAUUUGGAGGAAUACCAGUGGCGAAGGCGGCCCCCUGGCACAACACUGACGCUCAGGUGCGAAAGCGUGGGGAGCAAACAGG